UUCCGGUUGAUCCUGCCGGACCCGACUGCUAUUUGGGUGAGAAUAAGCCAUGCGAGUUGAAUGGAAUACCUAAAUUUUCCAUGGCAAACUGCUCAGUAACACAUGAUCAACUUACCCUAUAGAGAAAAAUAACCUCGGGAAACUGAGGAUAAUGUUUCAUAGUUGAAAAGGCUUGGAAAAGUUUUUCAAUCAAAAGGAUAAAAAAAAUGGUUUUUAUCCGCUAUAGGAUAGGAUCGUGGUCGAUUAUGGUUGUUGGUGAGGUAAUGGCUCACCAAGCCGAUAAUCGAUAGGGGCCGUGAGAGCGGGAGCCCCGAGAUGGGUACUGAGACAACGACCCAGGCCUUACGAGGCGCAGCAGGCGCGAAACCUCCGCAAUACACGAAAGUGUGACGGGGUUACCCAAAGUGUUCAAUUUUGAACUGUGGUAGGUGAGUAAUGUUCCCUACUAGAAAGGAGAGGGCAAGGCUGGUGCCAGCCGCCGCGGUAAAACCAGCUCUUCAAGUGGUCGGGAUAAUUAUUGGGCUUAAAGUGUCCGUAGCCGGUUUAGUAAGUUCCUGGUAAAAUCGGGUAGCUUAACUAUCUGUAUGCUAGGAAUACUGCUAAACUAGAGGGCGGGAGAGGUCUGAGGUACUACAGGGGUAGGGGUGAAAUCUUAUAAUCCUUGUAGGACCACCAGUGGCGAAGGCGUCAGACUGGAACGUGCCUGACGGUGAGGGACGAAAGCCAGGGGAGCGAACCGGAUUAGAUACCCGGGUAGUCCUGGCCGUAAACGAUGCAUACUAGGUGAUGGCAUGGCCAUGAGCCGUGUCAGUGCCGUAGGGAAACCGUUAAGUAUGCCGCCUGGGAAGUACGGUCGCAAGGCUAAAACUUAAAGGAAUUGGCGGGGGAGCACCACAAGGGGUGAAGCCUGCGGUUCAAUUGGAUUCAACGCCGGG
rnacentral:rRNA from 1 species